rnacentral:rRNA from 1 species
AGAGUUUGAUCCUGGCUCAGAGCGAACGCUGGCGGCAGGCCUAAUACAUGCAAGUCGAACGGUCUCUUCGGAGGCAGUGGCGGACGGGUGAGUAACGCGUGGGAAUAUGCCCUUUGGUACGGAACAACUGAGGGAAACUUCAGCUAAUACCGUAUGUGCCCUUCGGGGGAAAGAUUUAUCGCCAUUGGAGUAGCCCGCGUUGGAUUAGGUAGUUGGUGGGGUAAAGGCCUACCAAGCCUACGAUCCAUAGCUGGUCUGAGAGGAUGAUCAGCCACACUGGGACUGAGACACGGCCCAGACUCCUACGGGAGGCAGCAGUAGGGAAUCUUGCGCAAUGGGCGAAAGCCUGACGCAGCCAUGCCGCGUGAAUGAUGAAGGUCUUAGGAUUGUAAAAUUCUUUCACCGGGGAAGAUAAUGACGGUACCCGGAGAAGAAGCCCCGGCUAACUUCGUG